rnacentral:rRNA from 1 species
UACGGGGGGGGCAAGCGUUGUUCGGAAUUACUAGGCGUAAAGGGCAGGUAGGUGGUUUGGUAAGUCUGUUGUGAAAGCUCCUGGCUUAACUGGGAGAGGCCAACGGAUACUACCAAGCUUGAGUAUAGGAGAGGUUACUGGAAUUCCCGGUGUAGCGGUGAAAUGCGCAGAUAUCAGGAAGAACACCAAUGGCGAAAGCAGCUCUCUGGGACGGUACUGACGCUGAGACGCGAAAGCGUGGGGAGCGAACAGG